rnacentral:rRNA from 1 species
GAUGAACGCUGGCGGCGUGCCUAAUACAUGCAAGUAGAACGCUGAAGGAGGAGCUUGCUCUUCUGGAUGAGUUGCGAACGGGUGAGUAACGCGUAGGUAACCUGCCUGUUAGCGGGGGAUAACUCUUGGAAACGAUAGCUAAUACCGCAUGACAACAGUUAUUGCAUGAUAACUGUUUAAAAGGGGCAACUGCUCCACUACCAGAUGGACCUGCGUUGUAUUAGCUAGUUGGUGAGGUAACGGCUCACCAAGGCGACGAUACAUAGCCGACCUGAGAGGGGGGUCGGCCACAAUGGGAAUGGAGCACGGGCCAGACUUCUACGGGAGGGAGCAGGAAGGGAUCUUCGGGAAUAGACGGAAGGCUGACCGAGGAACGCCGGGUGAAGGAAGGAGGGUUUCGGAACGUAAAGCUCUGUUGUAAGAGAAGAACGAGAGUGAGAGUGGAAAGUGCACACUGUGACGGUAUCUAACCAGAAAGGGACGGCUAACUACGUG